rnacentral:rRNA from 1 species
UUGAACUGAAGAGUUUGAUCCUGGCUCAGAUUGAACGCUGGCGGCAUGCCUAACACAUGCAAGUCGAGCGGCAGCAGCACCCUUCUUCGGAAGGGUGGCUGGCGAGCGGCGGACGGGUGAGUAACGCGUAGGAACCUACCCUCCGGUGGGGGACAACCCGGGGAAACCCGGGCUAAUACCGCAUACGCCCUACGGGGGAAAGCGGGGGACCUCUUCGGAGGCCUCGCGCCGGAGGAUGGGCCUGCGUCCUAUCAGCUAGUUGGUGAGGUAACGGCUCACCAAGGCGACGACGGGUAGCUGGUCUGAGAGGACGAUCAGCCACACUGGGACUGAGACACGGCCCAGACUCCUACGGGAGGCAGCAGUGGGGAAUAUUGGACAAUGGGCGAAAGCCUGAUCCAGCAAUGCCGCGUG